rnacentral:rRNA from 1 species
GACGAACGCUGGCGGCGUGCUUAACACAUGCAAGUCGAACGAAGAGCGAUGGAAGCUUGCUUCUAUCAAUCUUAGUGGCGAACGGGUGAGUAACGCGUAAUCAACCUGCCCUUCAGAGGGGGACAACAGUUGGAAACGACUGCUAAUACCGCAUACGAUCUAAACUCGGCAUCGAGGAUAGAUGAAAGGUGGCCUCUACAUGUAAGCUAUCACUGAAGGAGGGGAUUGCGUCUGAUUAGCUAGUUGGAGGGGUAACGGCCCACCAAGGCGAUGAUCAGUAGCCGGUCUGAGAGGAUGAACGGCCACAUUGGGACUGAGACACGGCCCAGACUCCUACGGGAGGCAGCAGUGGGGAAUCUUCCGCAAGGGACGAAAGUCUGACGGAGCAACGCCGCGUGAGUGAUGACGGCCUUCGGGUUGUAAAGCUCUGUUAAUCGGGACGAAAGGCCUUCUUGCGAAUAGUGAGAAGGAUUGACGGUACCGGAAUAGAAAGCCACGGCUAACUACGUG